GAGAGCUGAUGCACUUUUCAGUUGUUUAUUGGACAAAGAAUAAUAGAAAAAAGUCGUUCUGUAAAUAAAUGGUCUGUUUUAUGUAUAUGUCAUAAUAAUAGAAGAAAAUAGUUCGUGUUUUAAUAAUGUUGUAUUGUUUCAAGAUCAUGCUCAGAAGUUGUCAUGAUCUGUGUUUUUGUUAAAUAGAUUCAGCGUGUCUCAUGCUUUGUCACGUUUUUCUUUGUCACAUGUUCAUGUCUGUCCGCUCGUUUGUUUUUUUGUCUUCACCUGUUCUCGUCAGCCCUCAACUAAUCAGCUCCCUCCAGCCACUCGUGUCUUGUCCAGGUGUGCCUUGUUGUCUCGUCAGUUUGCUUGUAUUUAGUUUCCUGGUUUCUUUCAGUCUUGGGCAGGUCAUUGUUGGUGCAAGUCAAGAGUCUAGUUUUGUCAUGUUCCCUGUUUUUUUUUUUUUUGUUACUUUGUAUCAGAAUUUUUGGGACUUUUAGUUAUUUAGAUUUUUUUUUCUAUAUGUCUUUGUUGCAUGUUUUGGUUUUUGAAAAUAAUCCUUUUUUUUUGGAGGUUCGCCAUGCCUUGCCUCCCCUCUUCCCUGUGCUGGGGUCCUCCUCCUUUUGCCAACAUGGCCACAAAUCCUGACAGACGUUGGAAGCCAUGGUUUGAUUUGAAGCGGCCAUUUUGGCUGAUUUCUAAGGCUCGUACUUUCGGGAACUCUCCCAGAUGAGCUCCAACCGAAGAAGGAAAGAGGUUGUCCAGUGAGACCAGCCAUCAUAAAUACGAGAAGAGACCAUCCAGCAUCACACAGCGCUUUAAUGCGGACUCUUUCAAUUCCAGUGUACUGAAGUGUUUGUUUUCAUUCCCAGUCGUUCAACCUCACGGGUGUGCAAAUUCAGGGCUCCGGGGCCCUGCGAGUAGUACCGCGGGUGCCGUGUAGUGACGGGUAUCUAUAGACGCCAUCGACUUUGAAUUAAGGCCGGGACGCGUGGCCAUCCAUCAUAGGGAGUGCGCUCGGGACAAAAGCUGGCUGCGUGAUGCAUGGACUUCCUUCACUUUCACUCUCCUGGCUCAAUUUCCCCUUUCCUCCUCUUCUCCUCGUGUCCUAACCGACCCCCCCCAAACCCAUUUAACACUCGGCGUGGAGCGAUAAGCUUCCCUUCCUGUGCUCCAGCAGCUCCACAGUGUUCAGUUCUUUCGAGCAUCCUGUUUGCCACAACAUUAAGUACACCUGCACCAUCUAACCAGAACUAAAUGUGCUGUAAAUCAAUGCACAUAGUAGAUUUACAAAUAUACUAACACUUUAUU